ACUCCUACGGGAGGCAGCAGUCGAGAAUUUUUCUCAAUGGGGGAAACCCUGAAGGAGCGACGCCGCGUGGGGGAUGAAUGGCUUCGGCCCGUAAACCCCUGUCAUUUGCGAUCAAACCUUACGACCUAACACGUCGUAAGCUGAUAGUAGCGGAAGAGGAAGGGACGGCUAACUCUGUGCCAGCAGCCGCGGUAAUACAGAGGUCCCAAGCGUUGUUCGGAUUCACUGGGCGUAAAGGGUGCGUAGGCGGUCGGGUAAGUCUGACGUGAAAUCUUCAAGCUCAACUUGGAAACUGCGUCGGAUACUAUUCGGCUCGAGGAAUGGAGGGGAGACUGGAAUACUUGGUGUAGCAGUGAAAUGCGUAGAUAUCAAGUGGAACACCAGUGGCGAAGGCGAGUCUCUGGACAUUUCCUGACGCUGAGGCACGAAAGCCAGGGGAGCAAACGGGAUUAGAUACCCCGGUAGUCCUGGCCCUAAACGGUGCAUGUUUGCUGUAAGAGGAAUCGACCCCUUUUGUGGCGAAGCUAACGCGUUAAACGUGCCGCCUGGGAAGUACGGCCGCAAGGUUAAAACUCAAAUGAAUUGACGG
rnacentral:rRNA from 1 species